GUGUUGAAGAUGGACAAACAGUCAGAUUGCCAGUCAGCGGCAAGGAACUUUUUAUCACUUUUCAAGUUGAAAAAUCUGACUAUUUCAGACGUGAUGAAGCUGAUGUACACACUGAUGCUGAAAUAUCACUUUCCCAAGCCAUUCUUGGAGGCACAAUAAAAAUUCAAGGAGUUUAUGAAGAUCAUUUUAUUCAAAUCACACCCGGCACAUCUUCACAUACUAGAAUUCGUCUUUCGGGCAAAGGAAUUAAAAAACCAACAUCAGUUGGAAGUGGAGAUCACUAUGUUCAUAUAAAAAUUGCAAUCCCAAAAAGGCUGUCAGAGAAACAAAAAGAAUUGAUACAGCACUAUGCAAGCCUAGAAGAAGGGACUCCUGGUACAAUUCGAGGAGUGUCCAGUAAUAAAUCAGAUGCAAAUAACUUGGAAAUACAGACAAUGGCGGGGUCAGAUGAAAAGGCGAAUCCAGGAUUUUUAGAAAAGCUUAAAAAAUCUAUAUUUGGCUGAAAAUUAGUUGAAUUUUAUAAAUAUUCUUUUGUUAAAAACAAAGGAUGACAAGUAUAGAAACAAAAUUGUUCUCAGGGAAUGUGAUUAGUCUGACUUUAAAUUGAUGAUUGUCUUAACUUUUGCGCUGGUUGAAUCAAGAAAAAUUCUCAUUCCCAAAACAGUUGUUUGCUUUUACAUUGUUGUAAAACUUAACCACAUUAACAUAAUGUUAAUAUUGAAAGUCAGUACUAUCUGUAAUAAAAUUUAAAAGAUAUUUUUAUUUUUGUUUACAAUGUGGACAUUUUUGUUGAAUUUGUAAUUCCUAUUUAAGAUUAUUUAGUUAUCUGGAGCUAGAUCAGAUAUUAAAUUUUCUUCAAAUAGUAGAAAAAGUCAUUUAUGUAGCAUAUUUACAUAUUACCCAAUAUGUCAACUUUUAGUAAUAAAAAAAAUGCUGUCAAGGAAUUGUGUUCCCAUGUUUUUUCCAGUAUUGCCAUUUGCAGAAUGAUGGUUUUUAUAUAAUGUGUGAAUUGCACUCUUUAAUGGCCCCUUCUUUGUUGGCACAACAGUUAGAAUGUUGACACGAGUCAUCACCGUAAAUCUUAGUUCAAAUGUCAGUGGCCCUGAAUUCUAACAAAACAACAAUAGUUUUAUUUCAUUAUUUAUUCAUUCAAUUACUUAUGUAAACAGCAGCAAUUAAAGCACAAUUAUAAAAAAUUGAAAACCUGUAGAUAUAAUGUAAUAAUAUAGAAAUUAAAAUGAUUAACCUUGAAAUUGAAACAGAACUAAUUCAAUGAGAUUUUGGAGAUGAAUAUCAUAGAAUAGUUAGCUGGCAGGGCUAGGACAUUAAUAGAAACUAGUAUUAUAGAUAGUAAGGAGCCAAUCAUUAAGCAACAUCACAAAAGUUAGGCUUCCCUAAAUAAUAAUUAUUUUUUCAUUAUCCUUUUCUCUGAAGCUGCAUAGGAGUUGGUUGGGGCAUUGUGUUGCUCGAUCAUCUGCUUCCAGAAAGUUCCAGAGGUUAAGU
rnacentral:misc_RNA from 1 species